rnacentral:tRNA from 1 species
UCCUCGGUAGUAUAUCGGCUAGUACACCCGCCUGUCAUGGGUCUCCGCGAAUUGCGCGGGAGAGCGGGGUUCGACUCCCCGCCGAGGAG